UAUUUUUGUUGUUAAAAGUUUUUAUCUAGAUCUUGUUAUUUCUGGCUUGAUUUUCUUUUGUGGUUGGACAACUAAAGGGUAUGAACCUUCAUUUCUAGAAGCUUGUGUCUUCAGGUAUCCCUUUAGAGUAAUUUGCACAAGGAUCGUAAUGCAGAGGUUAAUCGGUCACCAAGAUGUGUGUAUCGUUGAAUGUAAUAUUUCUUCUUAAAUUGCUACUUUCAUCCUGACAUACUGUGGUGACCACAAGGUCUUACACUGCUUAUUGCCAAUUGGAUUUGCACCUCAGUGAAAUCAUUACCGCACAAUCUGUCUUCAAUGAGGGAUGCUGAGAGGCUGAAAUUGCUACAGGAAUGGAAUCAACUUUGAUAGAUGCAGCCAUAGUUCUCACUAAACAUCAGAUUAGAAGGACCCUACAUUUUUUCCCUUUUCUUUGUGCAGAUCAUGUAUUGGCCUCAAUCUUGUGAAGGCUAGACUUAAGAGACAAGUUAAGGGAUUUAACGGUCUCUUCAUGCAGACCCACGUGGACUUUUGGAGCAACCAAAUUCACUUCAGUAAUUACUUAUCCUUGUUAAAGCCUCUCCAGUGAUUUGGCAGUUCCUGGUUAGCAACUCGCAUGGUUGUAAACUUUGCAUUUCUUUGAUAUAAUUGUAGCAUUAGGUCUUAAAACCCUAACCUAGUGGUUAAUGGACCAAAAUAGAUGUUGGCGAUGUUAAAUGAUAUCCACACACAACUUCCAAGAUCCAACAAACUAGAAAAUCUUCAACUAAAUGCUCCAGUCAGACCUGAUCGAGACACUUCAAUGCACAACAGAAUGACUUGAAACUUUAUAGAGAUAAAUUAGAAUCUGAGGAACAAAUCCUGCUUAAAACUGAGGAGAUUUUGACUCUUCCAAUCAUGUUAGUUGUUUCGAGUUGAAAAGCUUGUGACAACACUUGUAAAUAUCAGCCAGGUGGAAAGUGGAUAUGUCCAUUGGUCUGAAAUUUGGGGUAUGAUCAUAUGAAACUUCAAAACACCACAUAUGAGCCCAGACAAGGUUAUAAGAGUUAGCUCAUUCUUGCCUGGAUUGCUUGAAACAGGUGAAGAAGAGGAUCUGCUGAUCCUAAGCAUUCUGGUUUCUUCAUGCCUGAAUGGGUUGGGCCUCCUUUUAACUACUGACCUGAUCGUAAUUUGCACUACCAUGAUAGUCUCUCAUCAGGGCUGGUUGUGCAUUCUGUAUAUAGUGAUGGGUAGGGUUAUAAUGACGUUUCAUGUUCCUCAACAUCUCAUGUUAGCUUCAGCAUGUUGGUCAUGUUGCUUCUUUGCUCUAAAAUGUUGACAAAGCACUGGGUUCAUCAAUACAGUCCAACAAACAAAUCUAGGAAGACAUCUUUUAUUAUCAGGUCAGGCUGCUUGUUGGUGUUCUGAAAUGCGUUGGAACAGGGGAACUUACUGCUGAUGAUGUUGAAAGAAUCCUGAAUGCAAAGACAGUGACUGCUGCGAGUCCCAUGGCCCCUGCUUGUGGUCUCUACCUUGG